AGCCGCCUAGCCAGCCUAUUUCUGAAUAUACUCAGCUGUGACCUGCUGAGCUCAUGCCCAUGGACCCUGCAGAUCCAGAACUGACUGCAGAAGCUCUCAGCAGGUCUUCUUGAAAGUAACCAAUUGCUUGGGAAGGAGACAAUAGUGUGUAACUUUCCAGGUAGUUAUAGAGUGUCAUAGCCAGAGGUGGAAUUCAGAUUCUAAUCUUUACUGGGAAGAUUUAGCCUCCUCAUCCUACCUCCCCCGCCCCCGCCCCCCCCUCCCCGGGCUGGAGAGAUGACUCAGCUGUUAAAAGGGCUGACUGCUCUUCCAGAGGUCCUGAGUUCAAAUCCCAGCAACCACAUGGUGACUCACAACCAUCCGUAAUGACAUCUGAUUGAUGCCUUCUUCUGGUGUGUCUAAAGACAGCUACAGUAUACUUACAUAUAAUAAGUAAAUAAAUCUUUGGGCCGCCAGAGUGAGUAGGGCUGGAGGGAAAAGAAAGAAAGAAAAAAAAAAGUUAGCUUUUCCCUAAUGGGCUUCAAUAAAACUGCCCUUCACGUGUGGUACUUAAAUCCUAAGGCAGAGGAGUGAUGGGAGGUGGAGUCCAACAUGGACCUUGAGGGAGGGAAUCCAUCUUCAGUUGUCUGGGGGGUUGUUAAUAUUUGUCUAGCUACUUCACCAUGGAGAAGGAUGGCUGCUCCAUCCGUAGUGCUGGAGGCUUGAGGAGUAACUCACUUAGAACCACAGCUGGCUGUAACCUUCGUGGGCCACCCCAGAGACUCACUGCCACCAGCUGGACAGCAGGGAUCCACACACACUCAGAGGUUCCACAACCUCCCCAAACAGUGCCUCCAGCUGGAGACUAAGUAUUCAAACAGUGAGCUUGCUGGGGGAGUGGUUUGAAUGAGAAAGGCUCCUGUAGGCUCUGCUAUUUGAAUGCUUGGUUUCCAGUCAGUGCAACUGUUUGGGAAGGAUUAGGAGGUGUGGCCUUGCCAGAGGAGGUGUGUCCCUAGGUUUCAAAAGCCCAUGCCAGGUGUGCUUGCUGUCUCUCGAGUUCUCUCUCUCUCGAGUUCUCUCUCUUUUUCUCAUUCUCUCUCUUUCAUUCUGUCUCUCUCUGUCUCUCUCUCUCUCUGUGUCUCUCUGCCUGCAGAUCAGGAUAUAAGCUGUAAGCUCUUGGUUACUGCUCCAGCACCAUGCCUGCCUCCAUGCUCCCCACCAUGAUGGUCAUGGACUCACAGUCUCUGAAACUGUGAGCCCCCAGGUGAAUGCUUUAUUCUGUAAAUUGCCUUGGUCAUGGCAUCUGCUUGUGCACUCGAUCAGCGACUCAAACAGGGACAUUUCAGACCCAGAGCAGAACAGCAGUUGAUAUGACUUCUGUGAUAGAAAGACAAUAAUUAUCCAUGUGCAAAGUCAAGUCACAGAAGGAGAUGGACAGCAUACCCUCACACAGCAGAGGGAGGCGCUAGGCACGGCGCUGUCCAUCUGUCACCCCAGUACUUGGAAGGUGGAGGCAGGAGAAUCAGAAGUUCAGGGUCGUCCACAAGUACAUAGAGAUGUCAAGGCGAGCCUGGGCUAUGUAAGAACCUGUCAAGAAAAAGAAAAAAGGAAAGAAAAGAAAAGAAACCCCAAAAGAGGUCAACAAGGAAAUCACCGAGAAAGGAACUCAGGUUUAAAAUUCAGAGGUAACAGGAGAGAGCAAUGGCUCUCAGCCUUCCUGAUGCUGAGACCAUUCAUGUUUUGGGGACCCCCCACAACCAUAAAAUUCUUUUGCUGCUAUUCCAUAACUGUAAUUUAGCUACUGUAAUGAAUUAUAAAUAUCCAAUAUGCGGAAUAGCUGAUAUGCUACCCCCGAGGAAAGGGUAGUUCUACCCCAAAGGGGUGGAGACUCACAGGUUGAAAACAACUCGGGGAUUUGCAUGAGCACAUAUUAAAGACUCAGAAUAACCAACAGUGAAAUAAGCCUCCAUCACAGUGAAGGUGAGACUGGAACCAUAAGGACUGGCUGGAGGAGUGGCUCAGCGCUUGAGAGAACUGGAAGAUCUUCCAGAAGACUCGGGUUCAAAUCCCAGCUCACAGAUGGCGGCUUAAACCAUCUAAAAGUCCAGUUCCAGGGAAUCCGAUGUCCUCUUCUGGUCUCCAUGCCUCUACAGAACGUAGACCUUUUUAUU
rnacentral:lncRNA from 1 species